UCAGUUUGUGUGUCGUAAAUCUUUUGCUGCCUCUCUUGUUCUGUCAUAGUUUUCCAGUUUGUAUUCCUUGGAGAACAAAUAGUUUGGUCUUUAGUUGCUGUUGCCUGCUUUUGUGUCCACACCCUCACCAACCCUGACACCCUGUGCAGGACAUAGCCUACCUCAGAUCCCCAACACCCUGAGUCAGAUGUAACCAAGUAUUGUGAUUGAGAGGACUUGAGUUGGUCAAAGGAAGCAGACCCACCUCUAAAGGUAGACAACUCGAGUUAGAGAGAGGAAAGGGAGAAAAACGACAACAGCCAGAUAUCGUAGCACGAGGACACUGAGCCAGCGAGGCACCGCACUGUACUGGCUGGAGCUGCACUGGAUAUUAGUGAUCAACACCGUCUCCAACAGGCUGCCCACCAUCAGAGCGAGGCUGAUUGAGAAGAAAACGUCUGCAGGAAUCAAAAACAGGAAGGAUUCAGUACACCUUUCAUUAAUGACAGGCAGCAGGUCGUUCAUGAUGAGCAGGAAGACGGUGUAGCCCAGGAUGAGGGUCAUCUUGAAGGAGGAGCGGUCCACAGUCUGGGGAGGCAGCAGGAAGCUGAAG